UCGGGAAUUUUGGGCAAUGGGCGAAAGCCUGACCCAGCAACGCCGCGUGAGGGAUGAAGUAUUUCGGUAUGUAAACCUCGAAAGAAUGGGAAGAAUAAAUGACGGUACCAUUUAUAAGCUCCGGCUAACUACGUGCCAGCAGCCGCGGUAAUACGUAGGGAGCAAGCGUUGUUCGGAUUUACUGGGCGUAAAGGGCGCGUAGGCGGCGCGGUAAGUCACUUGUGAAAUCUCUGAGCUUAACUCAGAACGGCCAAGUGAUACUGCUGUGCCAGAGUGCGGAAGAGGCAACCGGAAUUCUUGGUGUAGCGGUGAAAUGCGUAGAUAUCAAGAGGAACACCUGAGGCGAAGGCGGGUUGCUGGGCCGACACUGACGCUGAUGCGCGAAAGCCAGGGGAGCAAACG
rnacentral:rRNA from 1 species